ACGAACGCUGGCGGCAUGCCUAACACAUGCAAGUCGAGCGCCUGUAGCAAUACAGGAGCGGCGCACGGGUGAGUAACGCGUGGGAACCUGCCCUUCGGUUCGGAACAACCGCGGGAAACUGCGGCUGAUACCGGAUGAUGUCUUCGGACCAAAGAUUUAUCGCCUUUGGAGGGGCCCGCGUCGGAUUAGGUAGUUGGUGAGGUAACGGCUCACCAAGCCUGCGAUCCGUAGCUGGUCUGAGAGGAUGACCAGCCACACUGGGACUGAGACACGGCCCAGACUCCUACGGGAGGCAGCAGUGGGGAGUAUGGGACAAUUGGGGCAAUCCGGAGCCAGCAAUGCCGUGUGGGUGAGGAAGGCCUUCGGGUUGUAAAGCCCUUUCGGCGGGGACGAGGAUGACGGUACCCGCAGAAGAAGCCCCGGCUAACUUCGU
rnacentral:rRNA from 1 species